CGUCCUCAACAUCAAGAAUACGUCCACCUACAGGUGUUGUUGUGCCCCAGGGUUGUUCUUAGUGGUGAUGGCCUGCUAAUUAUUUGACCAAGAAAUCAAUUUAACACCGGUGGUGGCUACCUACGAUUUGAUACAAAAACCAUGUUUUGCAUACCGAAAUAUUGUGUGCGGGUGAAGCGCUAGAUGCGGGUCAAUUAUGAUCGCAUGGGACUCCGAACUCACAGGUUUAUCUCUCCCUACUAAUCCAGAUGCAUCUCCAUAGUCAUUUUGCCCUCCACAAUUUUAUUUCAUAAAAGGUCAAGGCCAAGGUAAAAGUGCAGCCAAACUCCUCCUAUCUGAUUUAGCCCCUAGAAGCUAGAACAUCUCACCUUUGCUUAUGCAAAUCUGUUUUGUAUAUGACUAGGUGUUCGAUUAAAAUCCUUGCUAAGAUAUGUUAUAUUUAUGCUCCACCGUACCAGGAUGUUAAGGAGAGAGAUUUCAUGUGAGCUUAUAUUCUAUACUUCUAUCCCUUCUCACUGACAAUGAAUGUGUUGUUCUUCCUGGUUCAGCUAGGCAUGAAGCACCAUUAUCCCUAGAAGCUUUUGGGAAUGUCUUGGCCAAUACAGGCUGUGAUAAGAUGUGUGACUAACUAUGUCCAGAAGUUUUCGUGUAUCUAUUGAAGUAUUUAUCAUAUUUAUUUAAUUCUAAUAUCUUUCUAUCAUGUGCAGUUUCAAUUUGCUACAGAUUUUUCCACUUCAACUGUUAUGCAAACCUUUUUGGCUGAGGGAAUAUUUUGGAAAUAUGUGCAGUCAGGUUCAUCAAAGAGAAGCGAGGAAACCAAGCCAAGGAGACACGCCACUGUGCGGGAGCAUGUCUCCGAUUGCUUGACUAUGAUUCUGUAUUGUAUGGAUAUCCUCUUCAUGUAUUAUUCUAUGUCGAUCUCGACAAAGUGUAGCAUUGCACUGGUGGUGUAAAAUCUGCAGUUUACUUGGCAUAAAGAUUUCAGAUUGUUGACCUUUUGCAGGCUGCAGGUACGUAUCCUCCCCACAAAAAGGAACAUGCAACUAUUUGAUCUAUGAAAGAAAGCACAUUAUGAGCUCCCUUUUUUUUACAAAAGUUUCUUAGUAGAAAGAGUUAAGGAAAUUGGUUAAUCAUAGAACAAUGGCUGAACCAGGAAAUUGGUUAAUCAUAGUUCAUUGGCUGAACCGAUAAAGAUGAUUUGUUAAAACAAUGUCCAUGCUGGUGGCAUGGUUAGUCGCUUCUAAGAGGUGUAUAUGUAAGUGUUUCUCUGAAUUGUGCACCUUGGCUGACCGCCGACGGCCAACGGAUUUUAAAUUAAGGGGCUGAUUAAAUGUUAAUUAAAUGAUAAGGACUUGAUUGGGCCACACCUGACUACGCUACUGCCGAUCAAGUCCACAAAGGUGCAAAAGGAAAAUGUUUGUGUCGUGUGUGUGAUCUCUACAAUCCUAAUAUUAGGCGUCGUGGAGGGCUGCCCAAGAAAGAGAAUGCAAGACACAUGAUAUAUUGUGCUAUUUUCCUCUUCAUUGUCAACUAAUAAUAUUUCCCUAUAUCCAGUAAAAUGAGAAUAAUUAUUCACUCUUUAUUUAAUGCUUGCUUAUCACAUUGGCACAAGUUUUCUGACUGCUCUAUUUACUCUCUAUGCCAGUUUUAUUCACUCUCUAUGCCAGUUUUAUUCGUUCAUGUCAAUGGCCUGGCCAUAACCAUUAUGUGUUACAGCUCGGUUGACGGCUAUUUUUUUUCUCCUACUUGUUUUUUUUUUGGUAAUGUCAUGUAUAUAUCAUAGUCUAGGAAAAACCUAGCCGGCAUGAACUAGAAUGUGUAUGCACUGUGUUUCGGCAACCAUGUGGCUUGAUCUCUAUAUGUUUCCCUCUUUUCAUUACUAUUGCACAUAUCAUUGAUUGUGUUCUUUGUCAUAUGUAGAAUUGGUCCAAAACUAAGUUCAUUUCUUGUAAUGAAAAAUCAUUAAAUUACUGUCUGAAAAUAAGUACAUUUUCAUUUGUUUUAUCAAUGGAUGAAUCUCCAGACUUGGGUUUCCAAUUAUGCUAUAUAUCCAACUGAAAAUAUUUCUUUGGUAAAUUCAUGCUUGACUUUCUUAGGAAGGCAUUGUUGUGUAAACAUGGAAGCUUACUUUCUGUGCAGGUAAGAAAAGUGUCCUAUUCUUCCAUGGAAUGUGCGCUGGUGUUCAAAUGUGUGGGUGUUCAGAUGCAAGCUUCAUAAUCUCUACGUGAUAUGUAUGUAGGCUUUUUUUUUUGGAGCGAAACUACAUUCUAGGGAAUUGGCUUCAGAGAUCUACAGAUAUUCAGCGCUCAAGCUUCCCGCAGCAAUUGAUGCAGUUGCUGAUACAUCUUAUUUAGAGCAAUCAAGUUGUCCUGCAUUGGUUACAACUCUUAGAUUGGUUCGAUUUGUGAGGGCAUGGCAGCGGUGGGUGUGGGCGUGAGCCUGGUGCCGCUCGGGGUACAUGAGUUCUAGGAGGACCUGCUGCGGGCUCGCCGCUGCGUGCACAUGUUGCGGGAGGGGCACCAGGUGGCCAGGAUUGUGACCAUGUGUGAGGGGGUUCAAAACUAGAGCAUGGACCUCAUCUCCUUGUUGCCGCAAUAACUUACCCUAAAAUGUAUUAUUGCUCUUGAUAUUCUUGUUCAAUAUUUUAGCAAGUGCUCUUCCUCAUAUGUUGAAGUUGCAUCAUAUUUUUGGUUUUCUGAAUACCUCUCUUCUUGCUCAUAACAAGUUCAUGGAGUUAAUUUUUUCUAUGAAAAUGGUGGUCUUGAGAAAUGCUUGAAUAUGGUGCGAUAAUGCACUGGCUAUGUAGAUGAUGAUUUUGAGGCUCCUUCCUUCUUUUUGUUGCUCGUGCAG